rnacentral:rRNA from 1 species
GAUGAACGCUGGCGGCGUGCUUAACACAUGCAAGCCGAACGGUGAAGCAGGAGCUUGCUCCUGUGGAUCAGUGGCGAACGGGUGAGUAACACGUGAGCAAUCUGCCCUGGACUCUGGGAUAAGCGUUGGAAACGACGUCUAAUACCGGAUGCGAGGCGUGGGGGCAUCCCCAACGCCUGGAAAGAACUUCGGUCCAGGAUGAGCUCGCGGCCUAUCAGGUAGUUGGUGAGGUAACGGCUCACCAAGCCUACGACGGGUAGCCGGCCUGAGAGGGUGACCGGCCACACUGGGACUGAGACACGGCCCAGACUCCUACGGGAGGCAGCAGUGGGGAAUAUUGCACAAUGGGCGCAAGCCUGAUGCAGCAACGCCGCGUGAGGGACGACGGCCUUCGGGUUGUAAACCUCUUUUAGCAGGGAAGAAGCGAAAGUGACGGUACCUGCAGAAAAAGCACCGGCUAACUACGUGCCAGCCGCCGCAGUAAGAC